rnacentral:rRNA from 1 species
AUUGAACGCUGGCGGCAGGCCUAACACAUGCAAGUCGAGCGGAUGAAGGGAGCUUGCUCCUGGAUUCAGCGGCGGACGGGUGAGUAAUGCCUAGGAAUCUGCCUGGUAGUGGGGGAUAACGUCCGGAAACGGGCGCUAAUACCGCAUACGUCCUGAGGGAGAAAGUGGGGGAUCUUCGGACCUCACGCUAUCAGAUGAGCCUAGGUCGGAUUAGCUAGUUGGUGGGGUAAAGGCCUACCAAGGCGCCGAUCCGUAACUGGUCUGAGAGGAUGAUCAGUCACACUGGAACAGAGACACGGUCCAGACUCCGAGGAGGCGCAGCAGUGGGGAAUAUUGGACUGUGGGCGAAAGCCUGACCCAGCCACGCCGCGUGUGAAGAAGGUCUUCGGAUUGUAAAGCACUUUAAGUUGGGAGGAAGGGCAGUAAGUUAAUACCUUGCUGUUUUGACGUUACCAACAGAAUAAGCACCGGCUAACUUCGUG